rnacentral:lncRNA from 1 species
UGGGCAAUGUGUACUGAAGAAUGGAAAAAUUUAGUAAACAAAAUCAUAAGAACUUGAUUCUGGACAGUGGAACAAUUCUAUGCAUGGGAGAGAGAAAAGGAGGACCAUCUAGUUUUUGUAUUAACUGGGUAUUUGAUGAUACCUUUAACCAAAGUACAGAAUAUAAGAAGAAGAUCAGAUUGUGGAGAACAGUUCAUGACUUCAGAUUGAGACAUAUCUUGCAUCUGAUAUUCCUGUGAGACAUGAGGGUAAAGUUCAUCAGUAGGAAAUUAAACACACCAAUCCGAGGUCAUGGCAACAUCUGGGUUCAAGAGAGAAAUCUGAAGUGCCAUAUGCAUGGCACUUGUAGCUUCAAGCUUGUGGGAGAGCACAAGUAAAGUUUGGAUUACUUUCAGCUAUAAGUAAUAAAAAACGCUGAAUAACAGUGAUUAAAUAUGAUGAUAUUUACUUAUUUUUCACAGUAAAAUUCAGAGUCAUCUAUUCCAGGUUUUAUAUGGCAACACUAGCCACAAAACCCCCAGUAAUGCAGUGUUUAGAUUUAUCUGGCUCUGUAACAAAACUGCCCCCAAAAUGUAGUAGCAUAAAACAAACCCUAUACUCAGGCUGUGUGGGUGAGGACUUUGGAUGAGGGAUGAUGUGUGUUUACUCUGGUGUUGAGACUGUCAGCUGGAAGAGUUAAAUACCAGAGCCUGGAUUCAUCUGAAACCUGAUUAGUCAGAAAUCUGGUAGUUGUACCUCUCUUUGUUGUCUCUUCAUACAUGCUUUCUCACAGCAUGAUGGCUGAGUCCUAAGGAUAAGUGUCCCAGGAGGGAAAGAGACCCAGCAAAUGCUGUAUUUCCUGUUAUGACCUAGCCUCAGAAGGUUUGCAACGGCACUUCUACCACAUUCUCUUCUUUCAGAUCAUCACAGUCCCUUUCAGGUUCUAGUGCAAAGGAAACGACUCUACCUCUUAUAGGUAGUGGCAACAGUAACAGGCAACAGGUUCUAGAAACCGUAUUUGAGAUGUGAAAUACAGCAGUGGUCAUUUUUAGUAAAUAAGCUACUAUUGCCAGAUUCUUCCAGUGUGUUCAUUUGUCAUCUCUGUGGUGUAUCUCUGAUUUCCAAGGUGCAAAAUUUCAUUUCUAGUAAAGGCAUCAAGAUACAGGAAGGAUGUGUCUAUAGGUCUCCUAAGGAAAUUACUAAAAACUGAUAUAGAAAACAUCCAUUUAUAUUCAGUUGGCCAGAAGGUAGUUAUAUCUUCAUAUCUAAAGUGGGGAGAUGUAUUAUUCUAGGAGGACAUUUUUUUCCAGUUAAAAAUUAAAACAUAUGGAGAAAGAACCAAUUAGCAAUUUCUGCUCUGAGAGAGUAAAAUAAGUAACUAUAUGAAUAAAAUUCCAAACAAAUUUGCCACAUUUCCAUAGAUAGUUACAAUGCAAUAUACCUCUAGCUGCUAUUUUGGUAAGAAAUAAAUUCCUUACAGACACAUAGCUUUGAUCAUAAUGUGUAGACUCAUGAAAAUUAUGAUAUUCAUCAUUUUAAAACAAAUUAUUCUUCAAGAGUGUCAAUUUUACUGUCUUCUAACUUGACUUCCCCUGCUUCAGAACCCUGAUUAUUUGGUUUUUUGACAUUGAGUCAAAUCAGUAUUAAAGUGAACACUGUUGACAGCUGCAUAGGUCAAUUCUGAAAGAUUAAUGUGAAAUGAAUGGAUUGAAGAAAGAAGUUUACUGUCAAAUAUUUUUUGCUCAGGCUUAGUAAUGCCAUCAUUGAUUCUGAUCAGGGCUAAAAGCACUAUGCUCUUUUCUCAAAUAAAACAUUUAAAGUGCAAUUUUUUGAACAUUGGAAAAAUGUGCAGUAAUGGAAUAAUAAAACAGACUCCCACUACCACGGCAAUGAAAAUGACAGACAAAAUAAUAGUGGGAGAACUGUGGCUCUGUUUUCACCUAUACACUUUCCUUCAACUGGAUCCCUCAGAACCCUAUAUCCUUAACCAGUUAGUAUGCAAUGCUACAAAAUGGAGAAAUAAAGUUAUACAUUUUUAAUACUGCAUGAUUUCUCAGAACCUUUAAUAUGCCAAUGAAUAUAAUAAAUCUCCAAGAAGAGGUGUAAUCUGCAAUAUUUUCUGAACCUAUCUGCUCAUAGAAUAUCAUUCUCACAAAGCAUCUUGUGAUCACAAAGCAUCUAUUGUUGCCUCUCUCUGUUUUCUGAAACAUAAAAACUCAAACAUACAUGAUUGUAUUCAGUAGCAGGUGCUCGCUAGGAUGGAGAACUCACACAUUUAACUAAUAUGGAUAUUUGCAGCCUAUGUCAAGGAACUCAAGAAGUAGUAGGGGAGAUCCAUGGGCACAGAUAAUUAUAUACAGUGAAGAGAGUAUUAUAAUGGAGGAUUGUGCAGGGAGCUAUGAAGUCACAGAGAAAUGGCACCAAAACAGGACAGGGGAGUGGGAUGGGGAAAAGACAUUGAAGGCUGCCUGGAGGAGAUAUACUUGAUGUGGGUUUUAGAAAAUCAGCAAGAACAUAGGGACUGAGGAGGGCAGGUGAAUAUUUUAGGUAGAGUCAGGAGCAAGAAUGUUGGAGUUGUAAAACUUCUUCACAUGGAGCAGAGGAUGAGAGAGAACAGAAACCAAGGUCAGAGUUGGGUCACAGAGAAGCUUGUAUGUAAUUUAAAGGGGUUAGGACCUUCAUUUUGUUUUGUGUCAUUGAAAGAACUCAACAAUGAUGAAGUUUGGCAGUGGAAUUUGAUUUUCGCUUUUUAAAGAUCAUUCUCAUCAAAAUAUGGGACUUAAAUAUGUUUCUGUAUAUUUAUAGCUUGUUAGCCAGAAAAAGAAUUUGCCAAAGGAUAUUAGCUCAUAGAAACCCUGAGAUGUCUAGAGAAACAGGCUUGAGAUUAAAUUCAUCAGAGAAGUCCUCAGAACUUCACCACAAACUAGGCUGGCAACACUCGCCUGAUGACACUAAUCAAUUCAGACUGCAAAAAGAAUGGCCUGACAUUAACACUAUGCACCCUUUCUGCCACUAACUCUGACAGCAUAACAGACCCCUCAUCACUCACUUCAGAGCUAGAACCUUGCCCGUUUGUGUCCCAGUGGUGGUAUCCAGACCACAAGUCUACAUACUCCUGCAUGGGAAAAUAGGAAAUAGUGGCUUUGGGAUUCUACCAUUUGAAGGAGGAACAUAUAAGGGGAGAGAAUAUCAAAAUGUAAAAAUCAAAAAUUGUUCAAAGAAUUGAGACAGGCAAGAAUAAAAACUAUCUACUGUAAAUAGGAGACACUACAAUAAGAAAAGCCAUAUCAUCCAGGCAAGGACAGUUAGCACAGCAGGAGUCAGCACGAUUCAGAGCGUGAGAAGGGGGGAAAGUGAAGAAGCAGUUAGGAAACAAAAUAGCUGGUAGGUUAUGACUGAUACAUGCUAGAAUCUGGUUUUAAAAUGCCAAGUGAUAAGAGGACUUUCAACAGAACAAGGGAUGCAGGAAAAUGCAGCCUUUUUGAGGGAUAUUGAGGAGUAAAGAGGAUAAAUAUAAUAGUUAAUUUUUAGAAUAUUAUGAAUCUUAUUUUGAACAUAAUGAAUUUGAGUUAGCUAUGAACAUCCAAUAAAAAUAUCUAGAAAAAAAUCCUGAUAUAAGUUUGAUAUUCUAGAGCAUUCAGUGAUAAGAGGAUAGAUUAAAACACAUAAAUGUAUGGGUGGAAGUUAAAACUCUAAAGCUGAAUGUGAAAGCCCAGUGAAUGUGAACCAGCUGGCAAUAAUCAAAACUAUUAUAAAGAAGAAAACUGCACUGAAUUUUUUUGAAAUUUAUUCGAUUAGCCUCCCCACCAGCACAGAUGAACAUAUGGCUUUGGAGAUUCCAGGGUAGUGUUUUAGCCCUAUGGUUGCUAUAACAAAUUGCCACAAUCUUAGUGGCUUACAAACACAAAUUUGUUUUCUACAGUUCUGGAGGUAAGAAGUCCAAAAUAGGUCUCACUACACUAGAAGCAAGGUGUUGGCUGUGCUGUGUUCCUUCCGAAGGCUCUAGAUCAGAAUUAGUUCCUUGACUUUUCCAGCUUUGAGAGGCUACUCUAUUUCUUGAUUCAUUUCUUCUAUUUUCAAAGCAAGCAGAGUAGCAUCUUCAAAUCUCUUGAUUAUAAAUCUUGUCUCUCUCUUCCCUUUAUAAAGACCAGUGUAAUUACAAUUGACCCUUGAACAACUCAGGGGUUAAUCCCCUCAUAAUGUACAGUCAGCCCUCCAUAUCCACCAUUCCUCCUCAUCUGUGGAUUCAACCAAUCAGGGACAAUGUGGUACUGUAGUAUAAUAUCCCAGUAUAAGUGGACCCAUAUGGUUCAAACUCAAUUGUCCAAGGGUCUACUGUAUAUUCUGUCCUCCUGACUAAUCCAAGAUAAUCUCCUUAUUUUAAAGUCAGUUGACUAGUAUUUUGAAUUUCAUUUGUAAUCUUAAUUCCCCCUUGCCUUAGUUACAUAACAUAUUCAGUUUCUGGGAAUUAGGACAUGGACAUCUUUGGGGUGCAUAAGAGCAGUAUUCUCCCUAAGACAGGUUGUGACAGGUUUUAACCUUUGGGUAAUAGCCUUAUUGUUCUGCUCUCCUGGCCCCUCCAUCUCUUCUGAAACCAUGUGCUAGCACUGAAUCUCUCUGAAUUAUCUAGAGGGUUUCUCUAUACCUGACUGGGCACUGGCUGAAACAAAGGACUGAGAUAUGGGUUUAUCUGACCAAUGUAGGAGAUUUCCUGGCAAAGCAAACAGUUGGGACAAAGUCCCUGAGGCUUGAGAAGAUGUGAUGUGUUCAAAGACAUACCUGAAGACCAGUGUGGCAGGAGCAUGGGGGUGGGAGGAAGGCAGCAGUCAGAGAAGGAGAGAGAUGCAGAUGAAAAUGCAGAGAAGGGCCUGGAUUUAUUCUGAAGGAGACAGGAAGCCAUUGAAGGAUUUUGAGUACAAAUGACUUCAUCUGGCUUAGAAUUUGAAAAGGAUCACUCAUAUCAUGUGGAGACUAAACUGCAGCUGUAGGUUUUAAACUUCAAGGUUCAUCCAUGCACAUGUUAAUAACACAGUUAAAGCACUGUGUGAUGUAGAACUGCACUCAUACUGACCUCAACAGCUUUUUCGAUCCUUGUUGGCAUCAAAAUCUUUUAAAUAUUUUAUGUGAUUUGAUUUUUUAAGUGUUCUUCUGGUCAUUGAACUUCAUUCAAAUUGAAGGCACAAUAUGCCUCACGCCUAUCACGGUCUUUAUCCUUACAUGGACAGCUGAAUUAUGUGCUAAAAAAACCCCUCAAGUUAUCAUUUCUGUCUUAAAGCUAUUUCAUUCUCUAAAGAUGUAAGCAGAAAAAGUAAAACAACACACAAAAGAAACAUAACUAAGUCCCUCAGAAAGGGAGUGAUUAGCAUCUAAGCUUCUUAAGCACUGAAAUUACUUUCUUAGGCAUGUGUAAUACAGAAUUAGAGUGAUCAAUUCAGCUUCAACAUAGAAAAGGUUCCUAUAUUAAUUUAUUUAUUAUUUUUAUUUUUUUUGCUACCAUAUCUUAUCUGGGACAAAGUUUUUGCCACCAACAUUUUAGAAUGUGAUUUUAUUUUUUUCUUCCAGAAACACUGCUUAUGUGGUUAGAACAAUUCCAUUAAGUUUCUGGGGGAAAAAAACAUAAAAAUUCAGAUUUAUUUUAGAAUAGGAAAAGAAAUCAAUGCUCACUUGAAAAUAAAUUUAUUAGACACUUAGAUUUUAUCUCUUUUCAUCACUUCAGUUAUUCCAUUUUAUCUAAUGCACAGUAUAGAAAUUCAGUUAAAUAGAAUUCUAUAAUUUUUGUCUUUCCUGUAAGGCUAUUGCAAAAAUACAUUAAUUUCCACACUGUAUUUUAAAGUGAAAAUUAAAGCUAAAUAGGAAUAGAUCAUUUUCAAUAGGAUGAUACUGAUGCAAUCAUUAAUAGAUCAAAAUAUUUGAAAGUUGUAAGUGCAUUGCAAAUACUAUAUACAUUGUUGACAUUAAUUUUACAACAGUACUUAACAUACAUUUGCCACUCUACAUUGAGAAUAAAUUCCAAAGAUACUGAUGGAUUUCCCUAAAAGACACAAAGUCAGGAAAAAGUAAACACAGUAGAUUCCCUCUUUGCCAAAGAGGUGAAGUGUUAGAAAUACCUCUCUCAAAGGAAAAAUGAACUUGUCUCUAGAAAUCAGUUUCCUGAUACGCUAUUUCCUGUCAACUUGAGUCCAUAUCUUACAAAUUCAAUGUCAAUUUGGCUACUGGAUUUCAAUUACAAUAAUGAUUUGAACUGCAUUAAAACACUCCUUAAACAUCGAUUUCUAUAUGAUACUAUUUAAAAACUAAAUAAUCUAUAUCAAUUUCUGCAUUACCUAAAGAACAUGUUAAGAACAAUAAAAUGCUGAAGUAUGUUUAAGAUUCUUCAUCAAAAACUGUAUUACAUGAUGUGGCUCAUUUUCAAUGUCCAUAAAAAUGAGCAUAACCAAGGUACUCAUCCUCUAAGGUAUCCCUCCUUUUGUUUCCUUUAUGUUGUUUUUUUUUCUUUCAAUUUUUUAAUUAUAGUUGAUUGUUUCCUUUAUACUGUUAUCUUUAAAUUAAUUACAUGAUGGGAGUUCCCAUUGUGGCUCAGCAGGUUACAAACCUGAUUAGUAUCCAUGAGGAUGUGGGUUCGAUCCCUGUCCUCACACAGUGGGUUAAGGAUCCAGUGUUGCAGAGAUGCAGCAUAGGUCAGAGAUGCAGCUUGGAUCCCGCACUGCUAUGGUUGUGGCAUAGGCUGGCAACUGCCGCUCAGAUUCAACCCCUAGCCUGGGAACUUCCUUAUGCUGCAGGUACAGCC